GGUUUGGAGUCUCAAAUAGAAGCAUUAAAGGCAAAUUUAGAGAAUGAGAAAAAGAAGGUGGAAAGGUUUAGGAAGGAAGCUGAUCGACUAAAUAAAAGCUGGGAAAAGAGAUUCUUUAUUCUCAGGAACAGUGUCCUCUUUGCCUUUUUCAAAAUGGAGAAACUGUAAAAUUCUGAAAAGGACAAAAACGAUGCAAAUUGGAAAAAUGCUUAUUUUUUCCCUUACCCUAACAUGUUAACAUUAAAAAUCUGUCUUCUGUUUAGUUGUGUUCUGCCAUAAUUUCCCCCAGAUUCCCUGGGGGAACAUGUAUGGGAAGUUCUUUUGCAAUAUUCUUUCACAGUCAAGCAUCAUCCAGGCACGAUGGGUUUAAUGUUGGUCUGAUGGAGGCCAUCGGAGGUCAAACUUGAAGCUUACACAAAAG
rnacentral:lncRNA from 1 species